GGCUCUGUUAGUUCGGGGGUCAGAGCACUGGUCUUGUAAGCCAGGGGUCGUGAGUUCGAAUCUCACCAGGGCCU